GCAUCUUCGGAUGUGUAUAAAGUGGCGAACGGCUGAGUAACACGUGGGCAACCUGCCCUUUGCACUGGGAUAGCCUCGGGAAACCGAGGUUAAUACCGGAUACUCCAUAUUUGUCGCAUGGCGAAUAUGGGAAAGCUCCGGCGGCAAAGGAUGGGCCCGCGGCCUGUUAGCUAGUUGGUGGGGUAGUGGCCUACCAAGGCAAUGAUGGGUAGCCGGGUUGAGAGACCGACCGGCCAGAUUGGGACUGAGACACGGCCCAGACUCCUACGGGAGGCAGCAGUGGGGAAUCUUGCACAAUGGGCGAAAGCCUGAUGCAGCGACGCCGCGUGCGGGAUGAAGGCCUUCGGGUUGUAAACCGCUUUCAGCAGGGACGAGGCCGCAAGGUGACGGUACCUGCAGAAGAAGCCCCGGCUAACUACGUGCCAGCAGCCGCGGUAAUACGUAGGGGGCAAGCGUUAUCCGGAUUCAUUGGGCGUAAAGCGCGCGUAGGCGGUCUGUUAGGUCAGGAGUUAAAUCUGGGGGCUCAACCCCUAUCCGCUCCUGAUACCGGCAGGCUUGAGUCUGGUAGGGGAAGAUGGAAUUCCAAGUGUAGCGGUGAAAUGCGCAGAUAUUUGAAAGAACACCGGUGGCGAAGGCGGUCUUCUGGGCCAUGACUGACGCUGAGGCGCGAAAGCUAGGGGAGCGAACAGGAUUAGAUACCCUGGUAGUCCUAGCUGUAAACGAUGGACACUAGGUGUGGGGAGAUUAUACUUUCCGUGCCGCAGCUAACGCAUUAA
rnacentral:rRNA from 1 species